rnacentral:rRNA from 1 species
AUGGCAUCCUUCACCUCCUCAUUCCAUCUUCUUGCCGUCCUCCUUGCGCUGGCCUCAUGGCAGGCCAGUGCAUAUGAUCCUAGUCCUCUUCAAGAUUUCUGCAUCGCUGACAUGAAGUCCCCUGUGCGAGUAAAUGGAUUUGCGUGCAAGGAUCCAAUGGCUGCAAGCUCGGACGACUUCUUCAAUCCGGCCAUGCUUGAUAAGGCUAGGGAUACAAAGGCCAGCAAGGUCAGGUCCAACGUCACCAACAUCAAUGUCAUAAAUUUCCCUGGCCUCAACACCCUGGGUAUCUCUCUGGCACGCAUCGAUUAUGGACCACUAGGUGUGAACACGCCACACAUACACCCCCGUGCCACUGAGCUCUUGACCGUGCUUGAGGGAACACUAUACCUUGGAUUUGUCACAUCCAACCCAAAUAGGCUCUUCUCUAAGAUAGUUACGAAGGGUGAUGUAUUCGUAUUCCCAAAAGCAAUGAUCCACUUCCAAAUGAACCUAGCGCAUGACAAGCCAGCGGCCGCGUUGUCCUCGCUCAGCAGCCAAAACCCCGGGGUUAUUUCUAUUGCCAAUGCAGUGUUUGGAUCAAAGCCGCCGAUUUCAGAUGAUGUUCUGGCCACGGCAUUUCAGGUGGAAAAGGAUCUGAUACACUGGCUCCAAUCUCAGUUCUGGGAAAAUAACAACUACUAA